UAUGAACUAAUUGGAUGCUGGUAUAAAGAGAACUUUUCUUCCCUGUUAGGUACUGUUUAAAAUUCCAGGAGCAAUUUAUAUUUUGAAUCCUUACACUUUGGAAUGGAGCAUUAUAUUGUGGACAUAAUAAUCUAGACAUGUCACUUCUGGUGCUGACCUCAGCCCGUCUGUUUGCUGAAGGGACAGCCCUAGACUGGAAAUAGGUGCCAUUCUCCUAGUAACAGACCACCGGAUCAGAAGAGGCACUUGACCUGAGGCAUUGGUCCAUAGGUCAUCCAACAAAUUGUGAUGCCUGCAUGUAACCAAGAUAAAUUCUAGUCGAUUCUUUUUUGGGGGGAGCAGGAUAUUCAAAUUGGAACAUUUUGGAGAAACAAGAAAGCAAUCAGCAGAAGACACUGAAAAGCUGCAUAGAGAGAAGCCAUGAGAUCAAGUCAAAUCCACUGCAAACCCAAGUUAUAAGGUAGCAGAUGUUAUGAAUAAACAGAGGCAAUGAGGAAUAACUCUUGGACGAAGGAACUUGCCAAACAACAGAACAAACUCUCCUACAACCGUGAGAGGACAACAAGCAGCUGUUCACACAAAGAUUGAGACAACCCGGACCAUCUGCAGUGUAAAUGGCAGUCACGCUUGUGCUUUCUUCCAAGGACGGGUGCUCAAAAAUGUGCUCUUAUUCUUGUCACGGCCCAUGUGGGACCAUAACGCAGAGCCAGUGGGAGUUUAGCCACACCUUUACACUGGAAGGGAUAGGGGGAGGGUUCUCUCUCUCUCUCUCCCCUACCCAACCCCCUCUCCACUCUGUAAUGUGUAAAUAUACAUAUUCACACCCACUGACACUGGUAACUUCCAGCAAAGUGUAGGUUUUGUUUAGAGAGCCCAUUUUAAACAAACAGAUGAAGUGCACAUAAUAUUUUUACUACUCAAAAUCUGGACUACUUAGCAUUAAAUUGAAUCAUUGAAAGAGCUCCAAGUAAAACUGUAUAAUAUAAUGUGCUCUGCCAAUGUUUGAAUGUUUUUUUUUCCUAUGGAAUCUCAAGAAUUAUGCUUAAAAUAAAUAAAUAAAAACUACUAUCUACCCAGGAGUUUAGAUUUGUGUAGUGUGGUUUCAUAUGAAGUGAUGGGGAUAACAAUACUAUAACCCUAUCAAUGUGGCAUUCUCAGUGAAUAUACAAGUCACAAAAAAUACCACAUCCCAGAGAAAGUGCAGCAUUUGGGCAGCAUUCUUAUUACUGUGCAGACCUGAGCAAAUCAUUUAUCCCCUAAAUUCUGACAUUAUCUUUGCAAAACAAGAUUUAUCCAUCUAGUCAAGCAUUCAGCAAAUAUCUUUUGAGCAUCUAGUAUAUACCAAGGACUCUUCUAAGAACUGAGAAUAUAAAGACAAAAAUAUAUGGUCCUUGCCUUCAAGAAGUUUAUUGGCUAGCAAGAGGACAAUCAGUCAUACAAAUAAACAGUUAUAAUAUUGGUAUGCUGUAUCAUAUAUCAUAGUCUUUGUGUUGGUCUUUGAUUGCUGCUGUAACAAAUUGCUGCAAACUCAAGGACUUAACACAAUACAGAUUUAUUCUCUUAUAGUUCUAGAGGUCAGAAGUCUAAAAUUAAGGUGUUGACAGAGCUAUGACCCUUCUGGAAGCUUCAAAGGAGAAUCUUUUUCUUUGCUUUUUUUUUUAACCUUUCCCAGCUUCUAGAAGCCUACAUUCUUUGGCUCAUGGCCUCUUCCUCCAUCUUUGAAUUGUAUCAUUACAAUGCCACAUCUCCUUUUUCUAAUUUUGAUCCUCGUGUCUCCCUCAUAUAAAAACCCUUAUAAUUACACUGGCCCCACCUAAAUCACCUAAGAUAAUCUCCCUAUCCUGAGAUAAUUAACUUAAUUAUAUUUGCAAAAUCCCUUUUGACAUGUAAAUUAACAUAUUCACAGGUUCUGGGGAUUAGAACAUGAGCAUCUUUGAAGGGCCAUUAUUUCUUCUACCAUAGUAUUUAUUAUGGCAUAGAAGUGUUUUUAUAAAGUAAAAUAUAAAAGGUGGAAGAAGGUGUCCAAAUCUAAUAAGAACCAAAGAAGAGGUAAUGUCUGAGCCAGGCUGAAUAGGAGUUUGCCUGAUAGAGCCAUCAAAAGAAAGCUGAGCAAGGAGUACAAUUAAUAUCCUAUUUGCUUGAAGAAAGAGGAUCAUUCUAGAGGACCAGAAACUUACAGUUGAGAAAACCAGAAGCCCAAAGCAAUGUGAAGACUUGGUAAGAGGCUGAUGGCUGAAUAGUGGCAGGCCACAGAGGACUAGAACCCAGGUCCCUUCCUCCCAUCCAAUCUCUCAUGAAACCUUCCAAUGCUAGGAUAUAUGCCUCAGUCCAGAUGACAGGGACCUCUGCCUACUUUCCUAUUUCAAUGAAAUUAAUGAGAAUUCAAUGUGCAAAUCAACCCAUUGUUAAUUGGCAAAGUAUGGUGUUUGAUUUUUGAUUGGAAAACAUUUUUUUUCCCCAAAAACCUUCAAAGGUCUUCUGGAUUGAUAGUUUGGAGCAAUAAAAAGAUUAUAAAUAAA